UGAGUAACACGUAUGCAACCUGCCGUCUACUCUUGGACAGCCUUCUGAAAGGAAGAUUAAUACAAGAUGGCAUCAUGAGUCCGCAUGUUCACAUGAUUAAAGGUAUUCCGGUAGACGAUGGGGAUGCGUUCCAUUAGAUAGUAGGCGGGGUAACGGCCCACCUAGUCUUCGAUGGAUAGGGGUUCUGAGAGGAAGGUCCCCCACAUUGGAACUGAGACACGGUCCAA
rnacentral:rRNA from 1 species